UACGUAGGGUGCAAGCGUUGUCCGGAAUUACUGGGCGUAAAGAGCUCGUAGGCGGUUUGGCGCGUCUGCUGUGAAAGUUCAGGGCUCAACCCCGGAACUGCAGUGGGUACGGGUAGACUAGAGUGCGGUAGAGGAGACUGGAAUUCCUGGUGUAGCGGUGGAAUGCGCAGAUAUCAGGAGGAACACCAGUGGCGAAGGCGGGUCUCUGGGCCGCAACUGACGCUGAGGAGCGAAAGCGUGGGGAGCGAACAGG
rnacentral:rRNA from 1 species